GGCUCUUUGGCGAUGUGGUCAGCACGUUUGACUCAUAUCCAAGUGUCUGGGGUUCAAUUUCCCGCUGGGCCC